UGGGAAAAGAAUAGGCACGAGUAACCAUACUGUGGGAAUUUGAAAAUUGGCACUGGUAGCCAUAUUAUGGGUGUAUUCGAGAGUUAUUCUUAGUAAGAAAUCGUAUAACAGAGAAGUGAGUUGUUUUAUCUUGGGGACGGUGUGAUUGAUAGCCUGCUUGCACAGUUUUAGCAGUACCAUGAAACGUCUUAAAGAGAGACACAUGGUCGUGACUCGGUCAGUAACAAUUAUUUUGUGUCAUUCAGAAUUGUUGCAAGCUACGGUAACAACAUGGGCAACCACGAACUCCGAAAAGAAUUAGUUCCUUUAUAAAAAAUGUGAGAAGAUACAGUUUGUUGUACCAAAAAUAUAAAUGGAAAUAUAGUGGUAUAUGAAAUGUGAAUAUAAUGGUAAAACAUGAUCUUCAUCUCGGCUUAGUUUGAUACUCGUGUUAUCACAUAGGUUAGCCAUUGUGUAUGUGUCAAAUAAUAGCUAAUAAUCUCCUCAUAUUGCUUUUCUUCAUUCUAUUACUCUUUUCAUCAUUAUCGUCUCUACAAGCAAGUUCUUUCUGUAAAUCUUUGCUCACAUGUUAUUGAUCCUCACAUAGGUAUUCCUCCCGGAGUUUCAUCUUAUGUCUCAAACUUUGUACCAGUUCGUGUAAUAUUUGUUUUGUAUUAAUAAGAAAAGUAAAAUAUGAAUUAAAUAUAUAUUAAAAAUGAAUACAUACAUUGAUGCAAAGUUUGAGGAGAUGUGAUUCCCUUCCAAAUGAAGUCUUCAUCUUAAAUCGAAUACUCCAAUUUGUACUUGUUUAUUUUCAUAAUAAUUUGAUCAUGUUCAUACCAUUAGACAAUUUCUGCAACUGAAGAGGGCUAAGAACUAUUCUACCAUAGUUUUUUUAAAUUGUAGUUGUAGUUUACCUUGCUUUUAAUACAAUUAUGGGAUCAUAUUUGUUGUCUCUCCAUGUGUCAUGAGUUGUGAUUGAUCAAAAAAAUAUAUUUAAGUUAAAAGUUUAAUUAAUAAGUAUUUUUCUAACCGUAACUAAUGGCAAAUAUAGUAAAACAAAUUAUGAGACAGAAGAUGUGUUCUCCAUUGCAUAAAAUUGUGAGAAAAUGGAAUCAAUGCGUCCAUAAUUACAGUUGUGGUGUCGUUUUAAAAUUACAUAUGAGAAAGAUUGACUUGGCUUUCUUAUCAUUUGCUUCACAUCACACCAUAGCUAUCUAGCAAACUUCUCAAGACUGGAGGUUACAUCUCAAUUGAUAAGCUUGUUGUCCUAAGAUUAGUUCAACUUUUAAAAAAAUAUAGAGUUUAAUGUGAUUUCGAAACAAUUUUAUAGGUACAAGAUUUGUUCUCACGACCAACACAGAGAGUGCAUUUUGAUGACGAGUUUCAUUGAGGUGAGAGUUUCAUUUAGUUUUAUGUAUUUGAAAUUUUAUUUGAUGUAAACAGGGAUACAUGAUUAUAUUGUUAAAUCAUUGUCCCAGAGAUUUGAUCUCUUAACUAAGCUCAAUUAGUCAACCAAACAUGCAUUACCCGUAAUGAUAAAAUUAUACUAUACUGGCUGGUUCAACCGGAAAUCCAAUGAACCGUAUCACUUACCAGUAUGGAACGGUUGUUGUACCGGAUAUACACCAGAAUGGUGGAAACUGGCCAAAACCGGUGAACCGACCGAGUUGGCACUGAACCGGUUGGUUGUUGCAUUUAAAAAACAAGUCAAUCUGGGUAUUGAACCGAUCGUUUUCCAUGUUCGCCGUUGCGUCUGCUCUAGCGUCUAGUCUUGGGUUUCUUCCUGUCGUCGCAUAUAACUCAAUCAAUUUUGAUUGUUUAGUGAAUAAAAACACAGAAAUACACAUACACACUAUUAUUUUGAUGGGUUUUACCGUUUUAGAUUUGAACUUUGAAGAAUUUUGAGAGAGAGAGAAUGGAGAAAGACUUUUGGGGAAAGAAGAUUGACACAUAAAGAAGAUUUGAACUUUGAACUUUAAAGAAUAUGAAUUAUUAUUAUGGAUGUGUUGUGUGUUUCACAUGUGGAAGAUUGUGAUUGGAGUAAGUAGAUUCUUU
rnacentral:lncRNA from 1 species